rnacentral:tmRNA from 2 species
GGGGGUGUUCCGGAUUCGAUUGAGGUGGUCCCGUGUAACUCGUUGCAGGUGGAGCGUCAUCUCCUGAUUGACAUUUUUUUAUCUGCCGAUGAAGCAGACUUUCUCCCUGUUGCUGCGUAAGUAGCUAGGGCGGGCGCGGGUUGCGCCGUUCUGAGCAGCCCGUUGCUUGACAGAAACCAGGACUUGCCACCGGUUGUUUCCGGCUGAUCGGUGGGACUCUUUGUCGGAAUAGAGUAGCGUAAGGUUUGUUCGAGCACCAAAUACGUUACCGACACAUUCAAGCACGAACUAAACCUGUAGAAGCGUUUUGCCGGCACCUUAAGACGCGGGUUCAACUCCCGCCACCUCCACUG